rnacentral:rRNA from 1 species
GACGAACCGUGCGAACGUUAUUCGGAAUCACUGGGCUUAAAGGGCGCGUAGGCGGGAUGGCAAGUCGGUCGUGAAAUCUCUCGGCUCAACCGAGAAACGUCGGCCGAUACUGCCGUUCUUGAGGGAUGCAGAGGAGACUGGAAUUCCCGGUGUAGCGGUGAAAUGUGUAGAGAUCGGGAGGAACACCGGUGGCGAAGGCGGGUCUCUGGGCAUUUCCUGACGCUGAGGCGCGAAAGCGUGGGGAGCAAACGGG